GACCUGCGGAGGGAUCAUUACCGAGUUUACAACUCCCAAACCCCUGUGAACAUACCUUAUGUUGCCUCGGCGGAUCAGCCCGCGCCCCGUAAAAAGGGACGGCCCGCCGCAGGAACCCUAAACUCUGUUUUUAGUGGAACUUCUGAGUAUAAAAAACAAAUAAAUCAAAACUUUCAACAACGGAUCUCUUGGUUCUGGCAUCGAUGAAGAACGCAGCAAAAUGCGAUAAGUAAUGUGAAUUGCAGAAUUCAGUGAAUCAUCGAAUCUUUGAACGCACAUUGCGCCCGCCAGUAUUCUGGCGGGCAUGCCUGUUCGAGCGUCAUUUCAACCCUCAAGCCCAGCUUGGUGUUGGGAGCUGCAGUCCUGCUGCACUCCCCAAAUACAUUGGCGGUCACGUCGAGCUUCCAUAGCGUAGUAAUUUACACAUCGUUACUGGUAAUCGUCGCGGCCACGCCGUUAAACCCCAACUUCUGAAUGUUGACCUCGGAUCAGGUAGGAAUACCCGCUGAACUUAAGCAUAUCAAUAAGCGGAGGAA
rnacentral:rRNA from 1 species